CAAGCGUUACUNGGAAUCACUGGGCGUAAAGGACGCGUAGGCGGAUUAUCAAGUCUCUUGUGAAAUCUAACGGCUUAACCGUUAAACUGCUUGGGAAACUGAUAAUCUAGAGUAAGGGAGAGGCAGAUGGANUUCUUGGUGUAGGGGUAAAAUCCGUAGAGAUCAAGAAGAAUACCCAUUGCGAAAGCGAUCUGCUGGAACUUAACUGACGCUAAUGCGUGAAAGCGUGGGGAGCAAACAGGAUUAGAUACCCUGGUAGUCCACGCCCUAAACGAUGUAUACUAGUUGUUGCUUCGCUAGUCGAGGCAGUAAUGCACCUAACGGAUUAAGUAUACCGCCUGGGGAGUACGGUCGCAAGAUUAAAACUCAAAGGAAUAGACGGGGACCCGCACAAGCGGUGGAGCAUGUGGUUUAAUUCGAAGAUACGCGAAGAACCUUACCCGGACUUGAUAUCUAACAAAUCAUCCAGAGAUGGAAGAGUGUCUGCCUGCAGAAAUGUUAAGACAGGUGCUGCACGGCUGUCGUCAGCUCGUGUCGUGAGAUGUUGGGUUAAGUCCCGCAACGAGCGCAACCCACGUCAUUAGUUGCUAACGGUUCGGCCGAGCACUCUAAUGAGACUGCCUUCGCAAGGAGGAGGAAGGUGUGGACGACGUCAGGUCAUCAUGGCCCUUAUGUCCGGGGCGACACACGUGCUACAAUGGCGUAUACAAUGAGACGCAAUAUCGCGAGAUGGAGCAAAUCUAUAAAAUACGUCCCAGUUCGGAUUGGAGUCUGCAACUCGACUCCAUGAAGCCGGAAUCGCUAGUAAUCGUAGAUCAGCCAUGCUACGGUGAAUACGUUCCCGGGUCUUGUACUCACCGCCCGUCACACCAUGGGAGUUGAUUUCACUCGAAGCCCAAAUACCAAA
rnacentral:rRNA from 1 species